UACGGGGGGGCAAGCGUUGUUCGGAAUUACUGGGCGUAAAGGGCGCGUAGGCGGCCUGCUAAGUCGGACGUGAAAUCCCCCGGCUCAACCGGGGAACUGCGUCCGAUACUGGAUGGCUUGAGUUUGGGAGAGGGAUGCGGAAUUCCAGGUGUAGCGGUGAAAUGCGUAGAUAUCUGGAGGAACACCGGUGGCGAAGGCGGCAUCCUGGACCAACACUGACACUGAGGAGCGAAAGCCAAGGGGA
rnacentral:rRNA from 1 species